rnacentral:rRNA from 2 species
GGAAGGGGUGUAUUUAUUAGAUUAAAAACCAAUGCCCUUCGGGGCUCUCUGGUGAUUCAUGAUAACUUAUCGAAUCGCACGGCCUUGCGCCGGCGAUGGUUCAUUCAAAUUUCUGCCCUAUCAACUUUCGACGGCUGGGUCUUGGCCAGCCGUGGUGACAACGGGUAACGGAGGGUUAGGGCUCGACCCCGGAGAAGGAGCCUGAGAAACGGCUACUACAUCCAAGGAAGGCAGCAGGCGCGCAAAUUACCCAAUCCCGACACGGGGAGGUAGUGACAAUAAAUACUGAUACAGGGCUCUUUCGGGUCUUGUAAUUGGAAUGAGUACAAUUUAAAUCCCUUAGCGAGGAACAAUUGGAGGGCAAGUCUGGUGCCAGCAGCC